rnacentral:rRNA from 1 species
UACGGGGGGGGGCAAGCGUUGUUCGGAAUUACUGGGCGUAAAGGGCGAGUAGGCGGCCUUCUAAGUCAGACGUGAAAUCCCCCGGCUUAACCUGGGAACUGCGUCUGAUACUGGGAGGCUAGAGUAUGGGAGAGGGAUGUGGAAUUCCAGGUGUAGCGGUGAAAUGCGUAGAUAUCUGGAGGAACACCGGUGGCGAAGGCGGGUCUCUGGGCCGAUACUGACGCUGAGGAGCGAAAGCGUGGGGAGCGAACAGG